UACGUAGGAGACGAGCGUUUGUCCGGAAUUACUGGGCGUAAAGCGCGUGUAGGCGGAUGGGCAAGUCUGCUGUGAAAGCUCCUGGCUUAACCGGGAGUGGUCGGUGGAAACUGCCAAUCUGGAGGACGGUAGAGGUAGGUAGAAUUCCCGGUGUAGUGGUGAAAUGCGUAGAGAUCAGCAGGAAUACCCGUGGCGAAGGCGGCCCCCUGGGCCGUACCUGACGCUGAGGCGCGAAGGCUAGGGGGAGCGAACGGG
rnacentral:rRNA from 1 species